UACGGGGGGGGGCAAGCGUUGUUCGGAAUUACUGGGCGUAAAGGGCUCGUAGGCGGCCAACUAAGUCAGACGUGAAAUCCCUCGGCUUAACCGGGGAACUGCGUCUGAUACUGGAUGGCUUGAGUUUGGGAGAGGGAUGCGGAAUUCCAGGUGUAGCGGUGAAAUGCGUAGAUAUCUGGAGGAACACCGGUGGCGAAGGCGGCAUCCUGGACCAAUAUUGACGCUGAGGAGCGAAAGCCAGGGGAGCAAACGGGG
rnacentral:rRNA from 1 species